UACACUAGUGGUAUUCCGGCGCUACGCGCCGGGUUCGUAUGUUUUAUUCUCUAAUGAAUUCAAAAUUGUUUGUAAUCAUGGAAUCACCAGUAUCUCUAGAUAAACUCUUACAUUGUGUGUGUCUGUUCUUUAGCUGCUUCAUAUGAUAUUGUUGGGAGUUACAUUUGAUGGAUGUUGUUGGGAGAUGUUACAUUUGAUGGUCGAUACGGGUUUCUAACAAACAUAGAUUAUGUUAUUGUGUUUUCUAGUUAUGGGUAUUCUUUCUUUUCGUUGUUCAUUGGCAUAUAUAGUUGUUUUUAUUAAAUAGUAAAUUAGUAAUUUGUUUUAGGAGAAUUCCCAUAUAUAAUUAAUGUACUAUAUCUUUAGAAGUAUUUCUGUUUCUAAAUUUUCAACGUUAGUCUUGAUAUUGUUUUGUUGCUGAUUUUGAAUUGUAAAUUUACUAUAAUAGGCUAAUUAUAGGUUUAUUUUAGGUCAAUAGAUGUGUACUUCCAUAGUUUUACAAUCACAAUGAAUAUUUUUAUUUUUAUAUAGUUUAAUGAGUAUAUUGACACGUUAUUCGUCAUUCUAUUAUUUUCAAUUUUGUAUCUCUCAAUUCAUUUUUUUUAUAUGUUUUUGACAUGAUUAUUUUACUAUCAGUGGUAAGUUCACUAUCACAUUAUAUUUAUAUCUAUUUAUUUUUGGCUUUCUAGCCAUUAUGUUGUUGAUUUUCUUUUUAAAAUAAUACCUAAUAAUGUACAUUAUUCUUCUUUAAUAUUUUAUUUAGUCUAGUUUUUGAUGUAUAUUUAUUUUAUUAAGUUUGUUAUACUCCAUAAUUGUGUUAUUGUUUGGAUUAAGCUUUUUCAUUGUAUAUUGAAAUGUUUUGGUCUGAAAUAUUUUUUAUAUAUCAUCUGGUGUGUCAAUUACCACUUGAUGAGUCUUUCUUCUCAGCCUUUCUGAUUUUUUGACAUUAAAUGUUAUGAUAAUAAUUUUCUAUAUUGUAUAAUUUAAAUUUCAGUUAUUUAUAUAUAUAUAUAUAUAUAUAUAUGUUGUUUGGUCAUCAAAUUUGUUACUAUGAUGUGUUAACUACCAUUUGAUGAGUCUUUCUCAUUAAACUUUUUUUAACUUUUCUGGUUCGUUGUAUUCAGGAUAUGCAAUGUAUAUCUUGGUCUCAAUAGAUUGUGCGGUUUUGUGAUGUUACUUUUAUAAAUCAUUGAGUGCUUGUUUAUUUUAGAAUCAAAUAUCUUCACCUUGUUUGCAAAAUAUUAAUCUUUUAGCCUGCUAGGUACCUUUGAGUUCUCUGGUAGUACGUGAUGGGCCAGGUGAGUUGAUCAUCCCAGCCAGGGAUACUAUGGCGAUGAGAUCAUUUGAAGCUUCAAGUGACGUCUGAUCUAAUAGUUUGACCUGGCCCACAAAACCGGUUUGGUUUUCAAACAGAUGACGUACAAAUAGAUGAACACUGGGAGUCGUGUUUAAAUAAUAAUUUUGGUGGGGGCUAGAAGGAGGUAAACCAGAAUGCCAAGUGUCAAUGUCCAUAAGUUUUCGGAGGAGAAAGUUUAAAUGUUCCAGAUUUUAUAAAUUUCGGACAAUGAUGAUGUUCAUGAGAUGUCUCAGUAAAAAGCUUUUUAUUUGAUGUUUGGAUAUAUCAGUGAACAUGACCUCUAAAGAUCUAAUGAAUCGCUAUAUCACGCCU